GUCGACGGUAACAUAUAUACUAGCUAUGCUAGAAGAUAGACGAGUGGCGGACGGGUGAGUAAUGCUUGGGAACUAUGCCUUAUGCGAGGGGGAUAACAGUUGGAAACGACUGCUAAUACCGCAUAAUGUCUUCGGACCAAACGGGGCUUCGGCUCCGGCGCAAAGAGAGGCCCAAGUGAGAUUAGCUAGUUGGUAAGGUAACGGCUUACCAAGGCGACGAUCUCUAGCUGUUCUGAGAGGAAGAUCAGCCACACUGGGACUGAGACACGGCCCAGACUCCUACGGGAGGCAGCAGUGGGGAAUAUUGCACAAUGGGGGAAACCCUGAUGCAGCCAUGCCGCGUGUGUGAAGAAGGCCUUCGGGUUGUAAAGCACUUUCAGUUGUGAGGAAAAGUUAGUAGUUAAUACCUGCUAGCCGUGACGUUAACAACAGAAGAAGCACCGGCUAACUCCGUGCCAGCAGCCGCGGUAAUACGGAGGGUGCGAGCGUUAAUCGGAAUUACUGGGCGUAAAGCGCACGCAGGCGGUUUGUUAAGCUAGAUGUGAAAGCCCCGGGCUCAACCUGGGAUGGUCAUUUAGAACUGGCAGACUAGAGUCUUGGAGAGGGGAGUGGAAUUCCAGGUGUAGCGGUGAAUGCGUAGAUAUCUGGAGGAACAUCAGUGGCGAAGGCGACUCCCUGGCCAAAGACUGACGCUCAUGUGCGAAAGUGUGGGUAGCGAACAGGAUUAGAUACCCUGGUAGUCCACACCGUAAACGCUGUCUACUAGCUGUGUGUGCCUAUAAGGCGUGCGUAGCGAAGCUAACGCGCUAAGUAGACCGCCUGGGGGAGUACGGCCGCAAGGUUAAAAACUCAAAAUGAAUUGACGGGGGCCCGCACAAGCG
rnacentral:rRNA from 1 species